rnacentral:sRNA from 1 species
GCUGGGCGUGGUGGCUCGUGCCUGUAAUCCCAGUGGCUUGGGAGGCUGAGACAGGAGGAUCGAGAGUUCAAAGCCAGCCUCAGCAAAAGUGAGGUGCUAAGCAACUCAGUGAGACCCUGUCUCUA